UUGUCUAAACGGCAGUCACUAAUCUCAAUCGGAGCUCAAUCGUGUACUGCUUUGCUUUGAUUGAUUGAAAAGUAAUCGUCAAUCACCAAUCGCAAUCUCAAUCCAAUCGGCAAUCGCUAGUGUGAUUACGGUUUAAGGGGCUCCGCACAAUAAAAGGAAUAGGGAACAGAGAACAGAGAAUAAGAAUUUCAACCUAUCAGAAAUCAUGUAUUGUGGAACAUACACAGUUGCGCAGCAACGCACAAGCUUAUGUAUAAACAUGGCAUAAACGCGAAAAUGCCACAACUAACCAGAUUUUAUGGAAUGAUUUUUUUAACCUCUUCUUGUGCUUCGUGUCUGCUCGUGCCGCUCGUUCCUUGUAAUAGUUGUUAAUUCCGCCUUAUUGCGCAAAAUAAACUGAGAAGAACAAGGAUAUUAAAAUAUAAGAAAAUUUUGGUGUAAGUGGCGAAAAAUAAACUUGUUGCAGAAUUCUUAGAACGUGCAAAUAAUUGUGUCUCCAUCAAGAUACAGUCUUGAAAAAAAUUUUGACGCAAGUGGUGAAAAAUAAAUGUCUCCUGCAAAUGCGACAUCUUUGAACAAUCUUUACACAGAUUGCAUCUGAAUUCAAGGCAUAUAUACUCGAAAAGUUUAGACUUAAAUAAAAAAAGAAUCAAGGAGUUCCACAAA